GCUUUCGUGGGAAAGUUGGUUAAUCCGUGUGCCUGACACGCACAAGAUCCCCAGUUCGAACCUGGGCGAAAGCA